GUGACAGUCAGUGACAGUUCGUUAGUACACAUAGAUUAUACACAUAAACAUAGCAUGUCAAACCAUUGAUAAACAUUCUUUGAGGAUAUUGCAUACGAUUACCACUAAAAUGUCUCUAUUUCCAGCGUAUAGUCAAGAUUGCGCAAAAGUAACUGAAACAAAAAUAUCGAACAUUGAUGAGCGGGAAGUAUCGCCGGCUGGUGAGGAACAGCUGCUCGCUAGUGAUAACUCUACCGACGAGUAUCCAGCUCCACUACAACCACCACUCCAGAGUGAUCUUACAUCUCCUGACUUUUAUCUCGAUACCAAGUUCGACCCCGGUAACCUGCGAGUCUCAACCUUGUACUAUCCCGGCCGACCUGAGUACAAGGCCAUAGGUAGAGUAGUGGGUAAAAAACGCAAGCGUCGAAAAAGUGAGGAGCGCUCAUUCCGCUACUGGGAGGUGAACAUCCCAGUAGCGGACCUCAGCGCCGAGCUGGCUGCUAGGGAGCGGGCUCUCACUCAACAACUAGAAAAACAACCCAACGACGUCGCCCUGUGGCUCAGGUUUAUCGACUUUCAGGAAGCUUGGCGAGGCCCCGAGGCAGGCCUGCGGGCGGCCGAGCGCGGCGCGGCGGAGUGCGGGGAGGGGGAGUGCGGGGAGGGGGAGGCGGGGCGCGCGGUGCGGGCGGCUCGGCACCGCGCCCGCGCCGCGCACCUCGACACGCACCAGCUGCUGCGCGUGCUGCAGCAGGACGCGCACGACAGCGCGGCGCGGGCGGGGCCGCAGCGGCUGGAGGCGUGGGUGCGCCUGCUGCAGGAGGCGGGGGCGCGGGGGGGCGCGGCGCGGGGGGCGCGGCACCUGCAGGAGGCGCUGGACCGGCUGCGGCCGCUGCCCCCCGCCUACCCGCACCUGCUCUACGUGUACGGGUCAUAUUUGAGCGACGCCGGUCUGUGGGAGCAGCUGGUGCUACUGAUGGAGCUGGUCGCGGCUAUGAACUUCCCCCCUGCCGGAUUUCCCCCUCCGCCGGAUCCCGACAGAGAUGCGGCUCUUGAAAAGCAACUCCACGAAUUUGAGGAUAAGGUCAUGGGCAGUGGCUUACCGCAGCACGUGGUGUGGGCCCGCAUCGAGCGAGCGCGCGGCGCCGCCCACUGGCGCCCCCCCGCCGCGCCCCCCGCCCUCCCGCUGGGCGCGGACGCCGACCCUCAGCGCUACCCGGUGGCAGCCGACGUGGCAGCCCUGCUGCUGCCCGUGGCCGAUCCGCAGCAUUCCUUCAUGCUCUGCGUCAACCUCUUGCGACUGGCCAAGGUGCCGCUGCUCCCCGGCGCAGAGUACGUGGAGCGCGCGUGCGGGCCCGCGGGGCUCGCGGCGGAGGAGAGCGGGGGCGCGGGGCGGGGCGGCGCCGAGAGCCUGCUGCCCGCCCUCCGCGCCGCGCGCCGCCUCCCCCCGCACCAUCCCGCGCGCCGCCGUGCCGCGCACGCGCCCGACCUCGUGCGGCUGCUGCUGGACCCGCCACACUACUUCACCGACGACGCCGGCUACCUGAGCUGGGUGAAUUCGCUGUGGGAGGCGUGCCUGUCCUGGACGAGCGGCUCCCGGCGACUGGCGCUGCUGUGCUGGAGGCUGCGUUGGAUGCACUCCCUGAUGCUGCUUCUCGACCCGGAGACGGAGAGCGGCGCGGCGGAGUGCGGGCGCAUGCGGCGCGAGGCCCGCGGCGUGCUGGCGCGCUGGGCCGGCGAGCACGCGCUGCCCUACGUGCUGCUGGCGGCGCUGGAGCCGCGCUACGGGCCGCGCGCGCUGCGGGCCGCGCUGGCCCCCCCCUGCCCCCCCGCCGUGCGCCUGUACGCCGCGAGGGGGGCCGGCGGGGGGGCGCGGGGUGCCGUGUGCGCCGCGGUGCUCGGCCGGAGGGAGCCGUGCGAUCCCGACGCGACCACCUUGCAACUCGCUUAUGAACACUGCGCUGAGCGGUGUGCUGAGCUAGAGAAGCGCUGGACGGAGGAGGGGUGCGAGGAGCGGGACGGGGCGGAGUGUGCGCUGCUGCCGUGCGAGGGGGCGGAGUGGGGGGCGGCGCGGGUCAGCCUCGCCUCCCCCGCCCAGCGCCGCGACAUCCUGCGGGACGUCCUGCACUACUCUGCUCUGCCUAAUAAGAGCGCCUCGCACUCGCGGUACUGCGAGCAGACGGCGUGCGCGCUGGCGGCCGGCGGGGCGGCGGGGCAGCUCGCGCCGCUGUUCCCGCACAACGUCUACAUCCAGCUCGCGGCUCGCGGGGCCGGCGCGGCGCUGUCCGUCCCCCGCCCGGUGACGUCACACGCGGCCGCCCUGGCGCGCGCCCUGCCCGCCCUGCUGGCCGCGCUGCGCUCGCGCUGGGAGCCGCCGGACGCCGAGCGCGCGUACCGGGCGUGCGGCGCGGGGGGCGCGGGGGGUGCGGCGGGGGGCGCGGCGGGCGGCGCGGGGGGCGCGGGGGGCGCGGCGCUCGGCGUGUGCCGGCUGGAGGCGGCGCCGCACUGCGCCCGCCCGCGCACCGCCCGCGCGCUGCUCGCCGCGCUGGACCUGCUCCCCGCACACAAGGUGAGUGCGAAGAGGAGAACACUAAGCCGCCACCCACCUUGAUUUAUGAGUUCUAAAAUCUCAGUUUACACAGUAACUACAACGGCUGCUCCACCCUUCAAACCGAAACGCAUUACUGCUUCACGGCAGAAACAGGCAGGGUGGUGGUACCUACCCGUGCGGAGUCGCAAUUUGUUCUACCGCCAAUAAAAAUUGUUAGAUCCCCUGGAUUCACCCUCGGUGCCUCUCGAGCACCGGUCACCGUCCUCGUCGAUUAUGACGAAGAGUUCGACGAGCGAACUAACCCAUAGACACAGCCCCCUGAAUUUCUCGCCGGAUCUUUUCAUGGGUUUGCGAUUCCGAUUCGUUAUUUGAUUCUGCGAAGCACUGCUCUUGUUAGGGCUAGUGUUAGCAAUUAUCUCAGGUUGAGGUCGCGAGCAAUGUCCAGCAGUGGACUGCCGCAGGCUGAUUAUGAUGAUAUGAUGAGGCCGCGAGCUCACCUACUCGUCCCCGUGUAGUUGUCCCCUUAGCUACCAACGAAUAGGUAAGAAAAAUAAAAACACGUGGGUACGAGGUGCGAGUGCGAGUGCGGGUGUGAGGUGCGAGUGCGAGUGCGGGCGCGUGGCGCGAUGCUGAGGCGGCGCGACUGUGGCAGUGGGUGUACGUGCGCGGCGCGGCGUGGGGCGGCGCGGCGGUGUCGGAGCUGGCGGACGCGCUGCUGCACCGGGAGCUGCGGCUGCACACGCUGCUGGCCGAGCUGCAGCAGGGCCCCGCCGACUCCACCUAAACCUCUACCAGCCGACCGGCUGUCAUUACAUCUUGUAUUCAAUCAAUGUUACAUUAAUAUAGUUAGUAAAAUAAAUAAAAUGAAUCUAAAAAAA